AGAGUUUGAUCUUGGCUCAGGAUGAACGCUGGCGACGUGGAUAAGGCAUGCAAGUCGAACGGGUUUAGACCCGUGGCGAACGAGGUAGUAAUACACAGGAACGUCCCCUAGAGUCGGGCAUAAUCAGCCGAAAGGUUGGCUAAUUCCCGAUGGCGUCCGAUCUCACAAGAGUUUCGGACUAAAGGCGCAAGCCGCUCUGGGAUCGGCCUGUGGGCUAUCAGCUAGUUGGUAGGGUAAUGGCCUACCAAGGCGAUGACGGCUAGGGGGGGUGAGAGCCUGUUCCCCACCGAUGGUACUGCGACACGGACCAUACACCUACGGGUGGCAGCAGCCGAGAAUCUUCCGCAAUGGGCGAAAGCCUGACGGAGCGACGUCGCGUGGUGGAUGAAGUCCUUCGGGACGUAAACACCUUUUAUUGGGGAGAAAACCGCCGCAAGGCGGUGUGAUAGUACCUGAUGAAUAAGGGGUUGCUAAACUCGUGCCAGCAGCAGCGGUAAGACGAGUACCCCAAGCGUUAUCCGGAAUUACUGGGCGUAAAGCGUGCGUAGGCGUCCCGCCGCAUCUUCAGUUAAAGCCCGAGGCCUAACCUCGGAACUGCUGGAGAGAUGGGCGGGAUCGAGGGGGCGAGAGGUCUAUGGAACUCAUGGUGUAGGGGUGAAAUCCGUUGAUAUCAUGGGGAACACCAAAAGCGAAGGCAGUAGACUGGCGCCUCUCUGACGCUGCAGCACGAAAGCGUGGGGAUCAAACGGGAUUAGAUACCCCGGUAGUCCACGCCCUAAACGAUGUUCUCUAGCUUUUCGGAGUAUCGACCCUCUGAGAGGCACAGCUAACGCGUUAAGAGAACCGCCUGGGAAGUACGGCCGCAAGGCUAAAACUCAAAAGAAUAGACGGGGACUUGCACAAGCGGUGGAUCAUGCGGUUCAAUUCGAUGGUAAACGAAGAACCUUACCAGGGCUUGAAACCCAGUUGAAGUCUCGCCGAAAGGUGGGGCGUCUCACAAGGACAACUGGGCAGGUGUUGCAUGGCUGUCGUCAGUUCGUGGCUUGAGCUGUUCCCUUAAGUGGGGAAACGAACGCAACCCUUAUUGCCUGUUACAAGUGUCAGGCGAGACUGUCCGCCUCGUGCGGAAGGAAGUGAGGAUGACGCCAAGUCAGCAUGGCCCUCUGAUGUCCUGGGCUACACGCAUGAUACAAUGACGGCCACAACGGGUCGCGACGGGGAAACCCUGAGCCAAUCCUUUAAAAGCCGCCUCAGUUCGGAUUGAGGUCUGCAACUCGACCUCAUGAAGUUGGAAUCGCUAGUAAUCGCAGGUCAGCUAUACUGCGGUGAAUACGUUCUCAAGUCUUGUACUCACCGCCCGUCAAGCCAAGGGAGUCGGGAAUACCCGAAGUUCCGCCAGUCGGCGGGCCGACGGUAAGCUCGAUGACAAGGGUUAAGUCGUAACAAGGCA
rnacentral:rRNA from 1 species